GAUGAACGCUGGCGCGUUCUUAACACAUUCAAGGCGAACGAUUAAGCCCAGCUUACGGGGUGGAUUAUUGGCGAACGGGUGAUUAACACUUGAGUAACCUGCCCUUAACUCUGGUAUAAGCCUGGGAGAGUGGGUCUAAUACCAGAUAGGAGCGCCUACCGCAUGGGGGGCGGUGGGAAGAUUUAUCGGUGUUGGAUGGACUCGCGGCCUAUCAGCUUGUUGGUGAGGUAAUGGCUCACCAAGACGACGACGGGUAGCCCGCACUGGAGGGUGACCGCCAACAAUGCGACUGCGAGAGGCAGCAGAGUGGUACGGGGGACAGUAGUGGGGAAUAUUGUACAAUGGGCGAGAGUGUGAUGCAGCGACGUUGCGUGAGGGAUCUGGGCCUUCGCGUUGUAAAACUCUUCCAGUAGGGAAGCAGCGAAAGUGACGGUACCUGAAGAAGAAGCACCGGCUAACUACGUG
rnacentral:rRNA from 1 species